rnacentral:lncRNA from 1 species
AACAUGGCUGAUUGUAUGGCUCUCAAAGAUAUCCUUGAUACCUAUGAGCGUGCGUUAGGACAACAGGUCAAUUUCCAAAAAAGUGCAGUAUGUUUCAGUAAGAAUGUUCAUAGGGGAGAUCAACUGAUGCUAGCGCAAUUUAUGGGUAUCCCUUGUGUUGAUCACCAUAGUCAGUAUUUAGGCCUUCCUAUGGUGCUGGAUAAGAAGAAGGGUGCUAGUUUUAACCACUUAAAAGAGCGGCUCUGGAAAAAAUUACAAACCUGGAAAGGAAAGUUGUUAAGCGGCGCUGGAAAAGAAAUCUUAAUCAAAGUGGUAGCACAGGCAAUACCAAUCUAUACAAUGAGCUGUUUUUUAUUACCUAAAUAUGUCUGCGAGGAUCUCAACAAGCUGGUUGCACAAUUCUGGUGGAAUAGCUCUACUGAAAACAAGAAAAUUCAUUGGAUGGCUUGGGACAGGUUAUGCGCUCCAAAAGAAGAGGGAGGCCUGGGCUUUAGAAAUUUGCACGCUUUUAAUCUAGCUUUGUUGGCCAAACAGGGGUGGCGCCUUCUCCAGAAUCCGGACUCCCUGGUCACGAAAGUACUUAAAGCCAAAUAUUUUCCAACUCGUUCUUUUCUUGAAACUACGGUAAGUCCUUAUGCCUCUGUUGUGUGGAAAAGUCUUUGUGACGCAAGAACAGUUAUUAUUCAAGGCUCCAGAUGGCAAGUGGGGAGUGGGGAUACAAUUGGCAUAUGGGAGGAUCGGUGGUUGCCACAACCCAAUAGCUUCCAGAUCUUCUCUCCCAGGCCUGAGCACAGUGCUAUCACAAAAGUAUCAGACUUAAUUCAUGGCGACUCACGAGAAUGGAAUGCCCCACUGCUGCAAAAUGUUUUCUUUCCUGAAGAAGUGAUGCUCAUUCGCUCUAUCCCGUUAAGUCUGCGUCUGACACCCGAUAUGUUGGUGUGGCAUUAUGAUAAAAAAGGUAUGUUCACAGUUAAGAGUGCCUACCACGUAGCCAGAUCGUUGCAUUCCUCUACUGGCAGGGCAUCCUCCUCAAAUUCGGAUGCAGUCGCUAGGAAUUGGUCUCUACUUUGGAAAGCCAUUGUGCCAGCUAGAGUCAAGACUUUUUGGUGGCGUGUUAUCUCUGGAAUAUUACCUACGAAAGCAAAUUUGGCACGAAAAAAGGUGUCUCUAGAUGAGGAAUGUAUGUUAUGUGAGGGCCCAGUCAAAUCUUUAAUUCAUAUCCUUCGUGACUGCCCGUUUGCAAUCUGUGCUUGGCGUAGUUCGACAUUAAGUAGUAGCAGGUGGAACAAUGGUGCUCAUUCACCCAAGGAUUGGGUAUGUCGCUGUGCAGAGCAACUAAGCUCUCAAGACUUUGCAACUUUUCUCAUGGUGGGUUGGGCAAUUUGGGAAGCACGUAAUGGAUUGCUAUGGAAUAAUAAGAAAAGUCGGCAUGAACAAGUCAGCUUGCAUGCAUCUCUGAGGCUACAUGAUUUUUUGCGGGUUAGUAAUUGCUUGGGGUCUCAAAGUAGGCAAGGUCAAAUAAAACAAAUGUGGCAACCACCACAUGAGAACAGUCUUAAAAUAAAUGUGGAUGGUGCUUGGAAGCCAGGGACCACGGAGGGUGGCGUUGGUGUGGUUGUGAGAGACUCCACGGGCAAAUUUGUGGCGGGUUGUGCAACUAAAUUGACUAAUGUUUUCUCUGCGCCACAAGUAGAGGCCUUGGCUGCAAGAACAAAUACAAUAUUGGCGAUGGAAAGGGGUUAUCAAAAUGUUGUCUUUGAAAGUGAUGCUCUCCAGAUCGUUACAGCACUUCGAAAUCACUCCAUAGAUAGGUCCGUCAUAGGACCUGUGGUGGAGGAUACCAAGAGCUUGCUGACACAGAUCACUGGGGAAGGUUUUACCCAUAUUCGUCGUACUGCUAAUGGUGUGGCUCAUCGUUUAGCCCGUUUUGCCUUGCAUAUUGGGGGUUCUUUAUACUGGUUCGAGGAACCUCCUGAUUUUAUUUCUGACAUAUUGUACGAAGAUUGUACUUCGUGACCGAGGAAUUUCUUUUGCCCUUGAUACGAGUUCAAACUUCUUGUAUUACCUUUUUUACAUCAAUAAUAUUCUAUCGCUUAUCAUCAAAAAAAAAAAAAAAAAAAAAGAAAGAAAACCUCAUCACUCUAUAUCAUCGCCUCCCUUUGCAUUAAAUUAACUCAAUUGCCUCUUUAUUUUGUAAGAUCAUUUAUAAUCAUGCUCUCUAUUUUUUAGUUAAAAUUUAGCUAAAAAUACAAAAGUUAUUUUAAGAGCUCUCUAUAAAAUUUCAACUUCAAUCAUACCCUCCAGUUUAGGGAAUCAUAAAUGCUAUAAUUAUAUUUUAAUUUAACAUAAAUAGUCCAUCUCUAUGAAAAAUAAUAUAAAAAUAGACAAUAUUGAUUAAAGGUUUUAAAAUAUUCAUUAAAUAGAGUAGCAUUAAAUUAUAGGGAGUUACUAUGAGUUCAUCCUCUCUUCUCAGAUUUAGGAGCUCUUAGAGGUCUCCCUAUUUUAAGAGCUGGAUAGGGAGCAUGGUUGGAGAUGGGUUUUCUUACUUCCUCCAUAAAUUUUAUCUAAUGAGGUGGUUUAGGGAGUCCAUUGUGGAUGCUCUAAUACGCGAGGCAUUUCGCAACAUCUAUCUCAUUUUCAUACAUGAUAAAAUAUUGCUUAUUUUAGAGAAAGUCUCUUGUAAAAAUAAUAUAUAUAUAUAUAUAAGUGCUGUUAUUUUCACCUCUUGUCCUAUUUUUCCACCCAUCUUAUUCUUAACAAUUUUAAAUACAAAUUUACUUUUUUGUAAAAUGACUUCUAAGAGCAUCUCGAUCGAUGUGUCAACAAUGCCACAUUGGCCAGAAAUAACAUUUCAUAUCACUCCAACUGAAUUGUCAAAGCUGAUAUGGAAUGAAGUUUGAACCUACAAUCGUUACUUUUGACAUUCCAAAAGCAAGACGUCAAAUUAAUAUAUAAUUUUUUUUUUUACGACAGCCGGCUAUUACUCUCAUUUAUUAUUUUUUUCUUCUUUAUUUUGAAUGAUUUGACCGUUACAAAUUUUUUCCUUCUUUCUCUUUCCAAUUUAUUUCCUGUACUGUUGAACAAUUUUUUUUAAACACACAACCUUUUUCCUCCUAUCGUACAUUUAAUUUUUGUUUAUAAAUACACCUUUUUCAUUUCAGUUUCUUCAAAGAACAAAAAAGAACUUGUGCUCAAACUAUAUUAUUUUCAACUUAGAAUGAAAAUUCUUCCAAGUGGUGAAUUGUGAAUUAUAUUUAAAUUAAUUGAUUGUCUUGUAGUAUUUUUUUUCUUUUUCAAUUAAUUAAUUGUCUUUCAGUAUUUUAUUUUUUAAUUAAAAAUAUAAAAAUUAUAUUCUAAGAAGCAAUAAAUAAAUCAACACUAAAAUAUAAUGAAAUAAUAAUUUAAUUUGACAUAUCGAAUAGAGUGUAAAACUGUAUAGAUGUUAAAUUGCCGCAUCAGCCUUAACUCACGUACAUACUAAUAAUUUUUUGACAUAUGGAGCAAUAUGUCAUUAAUAAAUAUUUUUAUUAAAUUUAUGAAUACAUCUUCAACUGCUCCCAUUUACUCUCUCUCUUCUUCAUCUUCGACCCUCUCUUCAACAUAUUAUUCGCCUAUUGUUGAAGAAAGAUUUUGCAGCUGGCUAUAUUGGUAAUAGCAAUCUUUUUAUUCAAAUUUGUAUUAUGAUGUGAGUCGAAACCCGAAAUCAAGAUUACAAAUAAAUUUUUAUUUUUUGGAAAAACCCAGAAAAUAGCUGAGUGCUUUUAUUUUUGUUGUUGGACUAAGGAAAAAUAAAACCCAAUAAAUGAUUCCCCCUCUAAGUCUGAUGCAAGCUAUGCUUGUACUCAAAGAGAAAAAAGUAAAGGAAUUUAGAGGUGGAUUUUCAGUUAAAAGGAUACAUAUGGUUGGUUUCUAAAAAUUUCUCGAUCGACAAUAUGUCUCUGCGAAGUGCCGGCGAUGGAGAUCAAACUAUAGAUGGGGAAAGAGGAAUCGAAAAAGAGACAGUGGAUGGGGAUGAGAGAGAUUAAGUGAGAGGAAGGUGAAGAGCUUAAGAAUAACGUUAAUAAAAAAUAUUAAUAAGAUAUGAUUAUUGUUAACAUUUUAACUAACAUAUUUUUAACUCAAUUAAAAUUUAAAGAGUAUUUUAAGAAUUAUAGUGUGUGGAAAGAUAAGAUUAGGUGGGUUGGAAAAUAUAACGGAAAAAUUGAAAAUAGGAGCAAUCAAUUAGAAUGCGACGAAGUUAUGAAAAGGGUGAGUGCAUUAAUUGUAGGAAAUUAUAUUCAUAAGAGGUGAGACACAAUUAAAUAUUCUAGUUAAGCUUUCAACAUCCAGUUUAGAGCAUUUUCACCCCAGCAGUCUAGCCAGGCAAAAGGCUAGGGGGCCUCAAAAAUCAUUUCUAGCACAACAAUCUAGCUGGGCAGAUGGUGGGCUCUACCAAAUCUGGGUAGGCUCGAAGGCAAGAACAGUCUGAGAUGUUGCUUAAGGGCAAUGACGUCAUCAACGUAAUUUUUUUAAAAAAAUAAAUAAAUAAUUCCAAAAAAUUCAGAAAUAUAUAUAUUUUUUUAUACAUACCUAGCAAUUUUUUUAUUUAUUAAUCUCAUACAUAUAAAUAAAAUUAAUCCCAUAUGAAUAGUAAUUAUUCUUGGGUUGUCAAUGUCAUGGCAAUGGAUGGAAAAGCAAAACAAAAAAGGAUAGAGCAAUCACUAUUUACAUGAUUAGUGUUUGCCAUUUGCCAUGACACUAUGAGUGAAAGUGCUCUUAUGGUAAGAGCAUCUCCAAUAGUCUCUUCAACGACUAUGGAAUACUUAAAUAGGUGAGCCACAUCAUCAAAAUCCUCUCCAACAACCUUGAAAAUGUUAAAACAUGCAUUUCUUCUUUUCAAACAAUAAAUAUAUAGAAAAAUUUCACAUAUUUUCAUAUUUUUCAUUGUUUUUCAUAUUGUUCAUUGUUUUUCAUAAUAUUACAUUAAUUAAAUUGAAGAGUCUAACGACAUAAAAUCAAAUCUCUCACCAUAGAAAAAAAAACUAGAAAAAAUAUCGACACUCCAUAAAAAUUUCGUGAAGAUAGCAUAUUGAUGAGCACACACAUGGCCACAUGAGCAAAAGCAAUACAUAUAGUAACGGCACUCUCUCUCUGAUAAAACAUGAUUUCGUGACCGCCAGAACCCCACUAUGCACAGCAGCACAUGCUCAUAUUCCUGCACACCUUAAAUUACAAAUCUGUCUCAGAGUGGUCCCCACAUCCAUCCCCCCCGACAGUCUCACGAUCGACCUCACAAAGUAAGGCUGUUUCAUAAAUACAAAAAACAGAAAAAGAAAAAAGAAAAAUAGCCCCCCUUUCCUUUAUAUAAUUAACUACUAGAAAACAUGCACACACGAUCCCAACAGUAUCUUAUUUCUUAAAUCAUGUAAUGAUGUAUGUAAAUUUGAGGGAGAAACGUGGUCGAUCAAGUAUGCAUUAUUUUGCUCACCCAAAUCUAAUUUAAGAAUUAAAUAGUAAUUUUUUUUCUUCUCAGAUUAAUUAUGCUUUUUUAAAAUUUAUUUUAUUUUAGAGUGUUUUGGGUCUUCCUUUCUUCCCUCUCAAGAUCUCAACCACCGACGCUUUCUCUUUACCCAAAUCAUAUUCUUCAUUUUCAAUUCCUAUAUAUUUCGUUGGUUUAUAUAUAUAUAUAUAUAUAUAAUUUUUGAGAGGCUUAGAUCCAAUCCAGGCAAGCACCAAAGAAAGAGGGUAUCAUGUGAGCAAGCAGAGAGAGAAUGGUCAAAGAUUUGAUUAGCUUCUAAAGAAAAAGAAAACAAGAAAUAUUACAUAUAUAUUAUUUAAAAGGCUUUAUGAAGAAGUACUUGAACGUACAAUAAAAAUAUGCUCAAGCAAGGAGGAGUCGGUGAAGGGACCCACACAACACAAGUUGUCGUAACAAUGACGCCACUGCCCGGCACUAAAGUUCCAAACCGACACAAAUAUAAUUACAGCUUGUUUAAUAUUGAUUAUUGUCUUUGGGCCAAGAUUUGUUGGGUCACACUUAAAUAUUUUUGGGCUUUGUGUUUCACAUCUAAUGGACCCAUCUCAGAACUGAUCUCUCGGGCCCAAAUUACAUGACUUGUAUGAAAAGGACAACAUAAUUUUUUAUUCUGGGAUUAAUCAUUUCAUUAGUCUCUGAAUUUAGACCUGAUUUGCAUUUGAAUACCUCAAUUUUCAAAAUGGUUCCCGCUGUCCUUUAACUUUAGUUUUGUUGGGACAAAUGGUUCUGCCGUCAAUUUUGUUAACUUUUCUGUUAAAUGCAGGGGCAAAAUGAUAUUUUUGUACCAAAAUUAAUUAAAAUAUGAAUAAAAAAUUAUAAUUAAACUCUCUCUCUCUCUCCCCCUCUAUCCUGAUUUCUACUCCCCCAAAACUUAAUUUUUCUUUUUUUUUUGGUUGGUUUUUUAUUUGAUUUGAUUUUAUUAUUAUUUUAAAGAUAUGAUUUCUUAUUCAUUUUUUUAGUUUUAAUAUAAAAAUACCAUUUUGCCCCUGCAUUUAACAGAAAAGGUUAACAAAAUUGAUGGCAGGACCAUUUGUCUAAACGAAACUAAAGUUAAAGAACUAUGGGAACCAUUUUGGAAAUUGAGGUACUCAAAUACAAAUUUGGUCAAAGUUCAAGGACUAAUAAAACGAUUAACCCUUUAUUUUGUGUGGGGUCCGAGUCUAACCAAUUUUUGUUUUGCAAGAUUCACUUUUAUACCUAAUAUAAGGGUCCAAAUUAUAAUAAUACCGUAUAUGAAAUGGAUUUUAGAAACACACCCAAAGCCCAUUUACAACAUAACAAAGAGGCUUUUAACUUCUUAUAAAUUACAAAACUGACAUCAAAUUCUUAAAACAAGCCCAACCCUAAAACAUCAUAAAAAAACCCAAAAUACUCAAUAGGGUAUCAAAGUAAUUUAAUAAUCAAACUUAAAUUCAAUAGGGUCAACUGUCAUUUUUUGGGUUUGUUUAUAGAAAUUCAAUGAUGUAGGGUUUAUUUAUAUUAUUAGUGCUAAGAAUGGAUAUAUAACUAAAUAUCUUUUUUUUUUAUAUACAUGCGAAAUUACCAGUUAAAAAAUUAAUCCUUUUUGAGUUAACUCAUGAAACCCGUUAAUGAUACGUUACUAUAUAAUUUGAUUUCUAUAAUGUAAAAAUAAUAAAAUUAUGCGAUAAAAUAAAUUUUAUUUUAUAUUUUUAUUGUAAACUUUAAACAUAAUUAUGUUUUGAUAUAGCUUAACAACUUUUAAUGAGAGGUGAUAGUUAUUCAGAUUUUUUAUACAAGUGAUAUUGGGGGAGGAGGAAUCGAAACUAGGACCUCUGGUGUAAGAGUAAAUACUUUUAAUCACUUGAGCUACAAGCCCAUUGAGAUAAUUAUUUAAAUUUAAUCUGUUUUUGUUUUAUUGUAUAAGAGCAUCUCCAACCGAUAUGUAAAAUUGCCACAUGGACAUGGAAUGACAAAAAUUAAAGUUUAAAGUUACUCUAAUCGAGUAGUCAAAUCAUACAUAGAUUUGAAGGUUAUAAAAGAAAUAUAAAAAAUAACAUAUCAAAAAGCUUGAUGUCUAAUAUUUUUUAAAUAUUUUUUUAGUAAUGGACCCCACUAUCAUUUAAUCUCUUUUAAACUUUAUGCAUCAUAUGAGCCCAUUUACGUUUCAAAAUACAAUAAAAUAAUAUGAUAUUUGACAUUUCGGGUGGAGUUAAUUUUUUUUUUUCCAAAGUGUCAAAUUAUCACAUAAGCCAUCAAAUUCAAAUUUAACAUUUUGCAUUUGACAUUUCCAAGGGAAGAGACAAAUGAAAUAGGCAAAAAUGUACUAUAACAAUUAGGGAUGGUAGAAAUCCCUAAAGGAGAGUGAUUUCGGUGCAAAACGGGAAUCGGGUAUGGAGAUCCCCGAAGUAUAAAAAUCCUCGUCGGGUAUGGGUAGGGGAUGGUAUUGGCAUCUCUAUCCUCGAAUCAGGCCCGAUAUUAUAUAUUUAUUUUCAAAUUAAUAAUAUAUAAUAUAAUACCUUUGUAUUACAAUGAAAUAAUAAUUAUUAUAUUUAAUACUUCAUUCCAACUAAAUAAAGAAGACUGGCAUUUUGGUUCAUACAUCUUGCGCGAAUGUAUCUUGGAAUCAACAUUGUAAGUUUUUGUGACAUUAGUUUAAAUAGAUCUUAACUAUUUCUCUCCAAAGUCCUAACCAUGUUCUUCAACUUCUAAUUUAACCACCCAAAAAAUAGUCUUGAUCACUAACAAUAAAUUUCAUGAGAUUCACAACUAUAUUUCUGUGUAAUAGAUCAUAUGAUGCUGUGAUUGGAUCUAAUUUGCAGUUUGUUCUAUACAUGCUGAUUAUCAAUUCUUAUAUCAUUAGCAUAUUAUGGACAUAGGUUUGCACCUUCUUUUGUAGAAGUGUAAGAAAGCUUCAUGGAUGAUGUCUUGCAAACAUAAAGAUCAUUUCAAAAAAUAGGGGAUUCAGGCCAGGAAUGAGGGAUAGUCCCUCGAAAGGUACGAGAAAGGGAAUUCCUCGAAACCACCUAAAGGGGGAUGGAGAUGGGGUCAAGGAUGGGAAGCGGGGACGGGGAUGGUAUUGCCAUACUCGGCCUGUUGUCAUCCCUAAUAACAACUUAGGUGACAUGUUGCGUACCCAUUUGUCUCAUGAAAAAAGUUGAUCACUCCAAGGGACUAGGCAAUGCAAGUCUACAAACUAUUAUUAUAUUAUUUAUUUUUAUCUUUUACAUUUACUAUUAUAUUUUAUAGAAAGAAGGUGUGAGAGUGGAAAUGAUAUUUUAUUAUAAAAAGCAAGUGAGGCUCAAUAUGCCUCUUCACUUUGCAAUAGGCAAAUAUUGCUUCGUUGGGGAAAUUAGGUAUAUUUUGCCUAUCCAUUUGCCCAUUCCCUUGGAGCAUGAAAAUGUUGAUAUGGCAAGGCAAAUGAGGCUUGCCUAUUCUUUUGCCUCUUCCCUUGAAGAUGCUCUAAGAAUAAAAAUCUACUACACAAACAAAUUAAUUAAACCAUAAGGUAAAUUCAGGAGUUUGUUUUCUUGAGUUGUGCCCCGGACUCGAUGCUAUGCUUUUUGGUGCCUUUUUUGAUUACCUUGGUUUUGAUUGAGCUUGCUCCUUGCUCCUUGCUUACUUUUCAAUCGUUUUUGGGACUUUGCUUUUAAUCCUCUAUUAGUUUAAUAAACCACAAUUUACCCCAAAACAAAAUAGUAUUACUAUCAUUGUCUUCUUCAUCAUGUUAAUUGAGAUUCACAUUUGACAACAAUACAGUGCAAGCAAGACCACACUACACACAACCAUCCCAAUCCCUCACCAAACCACAACCCGCCACGUCUCCAAUAAUCUCCAAACCCUAUUCCGGCCAUUGAUGAAUCAAAUCACCACAAGAAAACCCACGACCCCCACCAAAUGGGUCCCGCAUCAUCUUCCGCUUACUACGCCAGACGUUUCACUCUCAUUUACCAAAACCAGAUCCACCAACUCCUCCAACCCCCAAUCCCCACCGUCCAUCUCACCCUCCCUCCCCUAUUUAUACCCCCUCACUCUCUCACUCUACCCUUGCUCUAAUCCCUCACUCGCCACAAACCCUAUUUUGCAGAGAAAGCAAAACAGAGUGAGAGAUUAUCUCCCAACCUUUACCUUCUUCUCCAAUGGCUCUCUCCGUCGAGAAAAGCAGCAGCGGCCGCGAGUACAAGGUCAAGGACAUGUCCCAGGCCGACUUCGGUCGCCUCGAGAUCGAGCUCGCCGAGGUAGAAAUGCCGGGCCUCAUCUCCUGCCGCACUGAAUUCGGGCCCUCCCAGCCCUUCAAGGGCGCCCGCAUCACCGGCUCCCUCCACAUGACCAUCCAGACCGCCGUCCUCAUCGAAACCCUAACCGCCCUCGGUGCCGAGGUCCGCUGGUGCUCCUGCAACAUUUUCUCCACCCAGGACCAUGCCGCCGCCGCCAUCGCCCGCGACAGCGCCGCCGUCUUCGCCUGGAAGGGCGAGACCCUCCAAGAGUACUGGUGGUGCACCGAGCGCGCCCUAGACUGGGGUCCCGGCGGCGGACCCGAUCUGAUCGUCGACGACGGCGGUGACGCCACGUUGCUGAUCCACGAGGGGGUCAAGGCCGAGGAGGAGUUUGAGAAGUCCGGGAAGCUUCCCGACCCCGCCUCCACCGAUAACCAGGAGUUCCAGCUCGUUCUUACCAUUAUCAGAGAUGGGUUGAAGACCGACCCCAAGAGGUACCACAAAAUGAAAGACAGGUUGGUCGGUGUUUCUGAGGAGACCACCACCGGAGUUAAGAGGUUGUAUCAGAUGCAGGCUAGUGGGGCGCUUUUGUUCCCUGCUAUUAAUGUCAAUGACUCUGUUACCAAAAGCAAGGUAUGCGUUUCUCAAAUCUGUGUUUUUGUUCUCAUUUAAUUUCUAUUAUAUAGAUCUGUGUUGUUUUGGUAGUUUUGAUUCGAGUUUUGCUGACUUUGAUAUGAUUGGUUUCAUUUCAUUGCAUUCUAAAUCUUAUCUGGGUUUUGCUUCAGAUCUCAUUUCAUGCUGGAAUUUAGAUUUGAGAUUUGAGAUUGACCAUUAGAUCCAUAGUUUCAUGCUUAUUUUAAUAUCUUCAGCGAAGUGGGAAAUAGAAAUGCUUGGAUUAUAUUGAUUUUAUUACAAUUAACUAGAAAGUAAGAAAUAGUAAGCUAAUUUUCCAGAUUAGUUGGCUUUGCCGUAUAAUAAUGGUGGUUUUGUUGACCCAGAUUCUUAUAACUGCCUGAUUAAUUGGAAAUUUCAAUAAUUGAAUGGAUCUUCUGGUUUUUGUUUUGUGCAUGACAGUUCGACAACUUGUACGGGUGCCGUCACUCUCUCCCUGAUGGUUUGAUGAGAGCCACUGAUGUCAUGAUUGCCGGAAAGGUUUCCGUUGUCUGUGGAUACGGAGAUGUUGGAAAGGGCUGUGCUGCUGCCCUCAAGCAAGCUGGAUCACGUGUGAUUGUGACUGAAAUUGACCCAAUCUGUGCCCUCCAGGCUCUUAUGGAAGGCCUUCAGGUUCUUCCUCUGGAAGAUGUUGUCUCUGAGGCUGAUAUCUUCGUUACCACCACCGGUAACAAGGACAUCAUCAUGGUAGAACACAUGAGGAAGAUGAAGAACAAUGCCAUUGUUUGCAACAUUGGUCACUUUGACAAUGAGAUUGACAUGCAUGGUCUUGAGACAUACCCAGGAGUAAAGCGCAUCACCAUCAAGCCUCAAACUGACAGGUGGGUCUUCCCAGAGACUAACACCGGCAUCAUCAUUUUGGCUGAGGGCCGUCUCAUGAACUUGGGUUGUGCCACUGGACACCCCAGCUUUGUGAUGUCCUGUUCUUUCACCAACCAAGUGAUUGCCCAGCUCGAGUUGUGGAAUGAGAGGAAGUCCGGCAAGUAUGAGAAGAAGGUGUAUGUUUUGCCAAAGCACCUUGAUGAGAAGGUCGCUGCCCUUCAUCUUGGCAAGCUUGGAGCUAAGCUCACCAAGCUCACCAAGGAACAGGCUGACUACAUCAGCGUGCCAGUUGAGGGUCCAUACAAGCCAGCUCACUACAGGUACUGAGAGGAGGAGAAGAUUGUCAAGGACAAGAGACAUGAGAAAAAAAUAUAUAUUUGGACGGGUUGUUUUUAAUUUGUUUAUUUUACAUUUUGAUGAACUGUGUUAGAAUUGUAGGUUAAAUUUUGUAGGAGUUUGUGGUGUGAUGGGGAAAAGGGUGGGAGGAAGGAAAUGGAUGAUUAGGUCUCAGAUGAAGACCUGGGGUUUGAAUAAGGAUGGAAUGGGGCUGUGUUUGGAUACAUCUUCUGCCGCAUCCGUUGUGCUGCAUUUGAUUAUCAUUUUACUACCAAAAAA